CACGUAAUUAGCCGGACCUUAUUCGUAUAGUACUGUCAUUUUCCUCCUAUACAAAAGAUUUUUACAACCCGAAGGCCUCCUAAAUCACGCGGCGUCGCUGCAUCAGGGUUUCCCCCAUUGUGCAAAAUUCCCCACUGCUGCCUCCCGUAGGAGUCUGGGCCGUGUCUCAGUCCCAAUGUGGCCGUACACUCUCUCAAGCCGGCUACUGAUCGUUGCCUUGGUGGGCUUUUAUCUCACCAACUAGCUAAUCAGACGCAAGUCCAUCUUACACCGCUAAUACUUUGACCAUAAUUGCAUGUGCUUUUAUGGUUUUAUAGGGUAUUAUUCUUCGUUUCCAAAGGCUAUCCCCUUGUGUAAGGCAGGUUACUCACGCGUUACUCACCCGUUCGCCACUAAUCCAUUCAUUUUCAUUCCGAAGAAAUCAAAUGAGCUUCAUCGUUCGACUUUGCAUGUGUUAUGCACGCCGCCAGCGUUAAUCUGAGCAGGAUCAAAACUCU
rnacentral:rRNA from 1 species